AGCUUUGCUCAGUGGCAGUAUCGUAGCCAAUGAGGUUUAUCCGAGGCGCAAUUAUUGCUAAUUGAAAAUUUUUCCCAAUACCCCGCGACUUGAAGUAUAGUCAGCAUUGGCAAUUUUUGACAGUCUCUACGGAGA